CCUACGGGGGGCAGCAGUGGGGAAUAUUGGGCAAUGGAGGAAACUCUGACCCAGCAACGCCGCGUGAAUGAUGAAGGUCUUCGGAUUGUAAAGUUCUUUUCUAAGGGAAGAAGAAAGUGACGGUACCUUAGGAAUAAGCCUCGGCUAACUACGUGCCAGCAGCCGCGGUAAUACGUAGGAGGCGAGCGUUAUCCGGAAUGACUGGGCGUAAAGGGUGCGUAGGUGGUUUGGCAAGUUAGUAGCGUAACUCCAAGGCUCAACCUUGGAACUACUACUAAAACUGUUGGACUUGAGUGCAGGAGGGGCAACCGGAAUUCCUAGUGUAGCGGUGGAAUGCGUAGAUAUCACGCAGAACCCCGAUUGCGAAGGCAGCCUGCCAAGCCAUGACUGACGCUGAUGCACGAAAGCGUGGGGAUCAAACAGGAUUAGAUACCCUUGUAGUC
rnacentral:rRNA from 1 species